GACAGAGGGUGCAAGCGUUGUUCGGAAUUAUUGGGCGUAAAGGGCGCGUAGGCGGCCACGUAAGUCAAAUGUGAAAGCCCGGGGCUUAACCCCGGAAGUGCAUCUGAUACUGCGUAGCUUGAGUCUCGGAGAGGGUGGUGGAAUUCCUGGUGUAGAGGUGAAAUUCGUAGAUAUCAGGAGGAACACCGGUGGCGAAGGCGGAUCUCUGGGCCGAUACUGACGCUGAGGAGCGAAAGCGUGGGGAGCGAACAGG
rnacentral:rRNA from 1 species